GGUCAUGGCUCAGUGGUAGAGUGUUUGCCUAGCAUGUGUGAGUGAGGCACUGGGUUCGAUUCUCAGCACCA
rnacentral:tRNA from 1 species